rnacentral:tRNA from 1 species
GCCCGGGUGGCGGAAUGGUAUACGCGGAGGACUUAAAAUCCUCUGCCGCAGGGCUUGUGGGUCCGAGUCCCACCCCGGGCACCA